UACGAAGGGUGCUAGCGUUGCUCGGAAUUACUGGGCGUAAAGGGCGCGUAGGCGGCACUGUUAGUCAGGCGUGAAAGUCCUGGGCUCAACCUGGGAACUGCGCUUGAUACGGCAGAGCUAGAGGAUGGAAGAGGCUCGCGGAAUUCCCAGUGUAGAGGUGAAAUUCGUAGAUAUUGGGAAGAACACCGGUGGCGAAGGCGGCGAGCUGGUCCAUUACUGACGCUGAGGCGCGAAAGCGUGGGGAGCAAACAGG
rnacentral:rRNA from 1 species